AGAGUUUGAUCCUGGCUCAGGAUGAACGCUAGCUACAGGCUUAACACAUGCAAGUCGAGGGGAAACGACAUCGAAAGCUUGCUUUUGAUGGGCGUCGACCGGCGCACGGGUGAGUAACGCGUAUCCAACCUGCCCACCACUUGGGGAUAACCUUGCGAAAGUAAGACUAAUACCCAAUGACGUCUCUAGAAGACAUCUGAAAGAGAUUAAAGAUUUAUCGGUGAUGGAUGGGGAUGCGUCUGAUUAGCUUGUUGGCGGGGUAACGGCCCGACCAAGGCGACGAUCAGUAGGGGUUCUGAGAGGAAGGUCCCCCACAUUGGAACUGAGACACGGUCCAAAACUCCUAACGGGAGGCA
rnacentral:rRNA from 1 species